GUUAUGACAGGUCAUGAUGCCCUCAGUCAGCAUGGCCUCAAGGUUGAGGAAACCACCAUGGGCCGGUCGGACUUUAGAGAAGGUGGGUGAGAUGGGAAUUUAACUAUCAAAGCCCCUUCUGACCGCUCCCCAUUGGGCUCCUCUCAGAUCCACCUUCCCGGCCAGUGCUGAGCGUAGAUCCCCCAUCGGGAGUGGUGAGCGAAGGGCUCACGCUGCUCAUCAGCUGCAUAGCCCCCAGUGAUGCCAGCGAUCGGAGGUUCCACUUCUACAAGGAUGGAGACGAGCUCGUUCCUGGGGACGCUGGGUCUGAGAUCAGCACCACAGAGCCCAGCACCGGCUCUAUGAACGUCUCUGUGCUCAGCAUCCCACGGGCCGGUCCCAACAACACCGGGGAAUUCACCUGCGGGUACGAGGAGAACGUGAGGGGGAGGUGGAUCCCGUCCCCCAGGAGCCAUGCUGUGACCGUGAACAUCACAGCGACAGGUGAGUUUCCCUAUCCAGAGAGUGUCUGCCCAGCUCCGAUAGAUAGAGUAUUACUCUUGGUUCCUGACCAGUCCCUUGUCACCUUUUCUCUUCUCUCACAAGCAGCCUGGGCCCAAUCUAGAAACUUGCUGCCGGCAUGUGGGAUCCUCAUGGUUCCGGGCAUGGCUCUGGCUGCCCUCGUGUGCUACUGCAGGAGGAACAAGAGAGUUCCGGAGCCUUCGCAAUAUCUGAGGGGAUCUGAGCCCGGGGAAGGCGAUGGGGAACUGGACUCCAGGAGGUGCCAUGAGGAAUUGAAAUCCAGCAGUGUCAGAGUGGACCUACCAGAAGAGGGCUCUGAUGUGUACACACUCCUGACCUUCCCCUCCUCUGCAACGCCCUGAGCACCGGGGAUGGCGACUAGAGCAUUGGGAACAGAGGGGGUACUGCACUGCGAGGGGCUGCCCCGGCACAUCCAGGGAGCCACUCGGUGAGAGGCACGGAGGGAACAUGGAAAUCCAAAUCAGGGGCCCUUUAACAUUCAGGGCUCAGACACCCCAGCCUGGCCGCCUCUCCCUGUGGCCGAUCAUCCAACUGCCCUCAUACACACACGGACAGGGUCCCAUCUCCUCCAGCAGGGGGCAGCAGGGACACACACACACACACACACAGAAGGUCCCAUCUCCUCCAGCAGGGGGAAGAAUUGACACACACACAUGCACACGGAGAAGGUCCCAUCCCCUCUAGAAGGGGGUGAGAGGAACAUACACACACGCACACAAACACACACAUGCACACACAGAGUUCCUACCAUUCUUAACCUUUAUCACUGUCUCUUGCUUUUGUUGCAUUUGCUGUUCCAUUAACAUUCAUUCUCCAAGGACAGAGAAUAAACUCAAUUUCAAUUAGAAAGGCGUGACUGUU
rnacentral:lncRNA from 1 species